AUGCCACACCCGUGGUCCCCGAGCACGUGUCCCGUCCACCUGGGCCCACCUGGGGCUCUGACCACCGCCCGGCCCCCGCAGCCCCGUGCUCCUGGCGUGAGUCGUCUAAACAGAAGGGCAGGGAGCAAACGGAGCCCCUCGUCCAGCUCCCCCGGGCCUUCCCGGGUCAACGCUGCCCCUGCGGCCUCCCCCCAGCCUGCCCCGGGGACGGCGCCGUGGAGUGGGCGGCGACUGGCCUCGCUCAGAGCGAGCGUGUCGGGGCUGGGCCUUGAACGCCCGCCUCCCGGGGCCCGUCCCGCAGCUGGCUACGGGCCGUGGGUCCUUGGAUGGCCGCCUGGAGGGCCUGGGCCAGAGCCCGCCGGGGCAGAGGGGACGAGGGCAAGGUCGCCGUCUGCUCAAGUAGCGACUCGGGCCAGGAGAGCGUCCCCAGGCCACUGUGGCAGGUGCCGAAACCCAGCCCGGCCGCUGGGCCCCGGGUCACAGCCGCUCUCCUGGAGCCUCCGGUGCCUGGGAGAGGGGGAGGCGCCGGGCAGCCUGAGGACGGGGAGGGAAGGAGGCCGGCCCGAGGCUGCUGGGGGGCCCCUCCGGCUCCUCGACAGGGACCUGCCACACAGGGACGUGCGCGGGGCCCAGAGCACAAGACCCUCCGUGCAGGGCAGGUGGCCCGAGCCAUGCCCUCCCCACCGGACCCCUGGAGCUGCUCCCCUUGUCCCCCCGCCCAGGACUGCAGGACGGGCGCUGCCUCCUGGGGCCACGGUAUCGGGGGCUGCGAGGACUCCAGGGCUCGUGGCCAGCGACCCUCGGGGGCCCUCAAUCAUGUGGGCUCGCUGCUCUGUGCCUGCCUGGGGGGACACGGUGCGGGUGAGACGCGCACGGUCCCCCCUCUUAGGGUGUCUCGCCUGGCGGAGGAGUCAGGCAGGCCCAGGAGCAGGUGGGGCCACGCCAGGGACAGGGACGGGGCGUGACGCCGAGGGCAGGCGGGGGGCGCACUCCACAGGCCAGUGCCCCGCAGGGGUGAGGACGAGGGGAGGCGGCGCUCCUGACCAGGGAACGGCAGUGCAAAGGCCCUGGGGAGAGGAGUCCAUGUGUCCCGGAGCAGUGGGGCUGGGCUGCGGCCAGACGGGUGGUGGGGCCAGUUCAGACAUCCCAGAAGCCUCUAGAACCUUCCGCAGGCAGCAAGUGUGCUCUUUGGUUUCAGGCCCCGGCCCUGAUGGCUGUGUGCAGAGGGAGCGGCUGACGGCCACCCCAGACCCCGAGGAUCCCCGGGAGGGGAACCGGGCCCCGGAGGCCACGGAGGCCCGCGGUGGAGGGUGA
rnacentral:lncRNA from 1 species